CAGAGAUGCUUUGGUGCCUUCGGGAACUGUGAGACAGGUGCUGCAUGGCUGUCGUCAGCUCGUGUUGUGAAAUGUUGGGUUAAGUCCCGCAACGAGCGCAACCCUUAUCCUUUGUUGCCAGCGGUCCGGCCGGGAACUCAAAGGAGACUGCCAGUGAUAAACUGGAGGAAGGUGGGGAUGACGUCAAGUCAUCAUGGCCCUUACGACCAGGGCUACACACGUGCUACAAUGGCAUAUACAAAGAGAAGCGACCUCGCGAGAGCAAGCGGACCUCAUAAAGUAUGUCGUAGUCCGGAUUGGAGUCUGCAACUCGACUCCAUGAAGUCGGAAUCGCUAGUAAUCGUAGAUCAGAAUGCUACGGUGAAUACGUUCCCGGGCCUUGUACACACCGCCCGUCACACCAUGGGAGUGGGUUGCAAAAGAAGUAGGUAGCUUAACCUUCGGGAGGGCGCUUACCACUUUGUGAUUCAUGACUGGGGUGAAGUCGUAACAAGGUAACCGUAGGGGAACCUGCGGUUGGAUCACCUCCUUACCUUAAAGAA
rnacentral:rRNA from 1 species